rnacentral:rRNA from 1 species
GACGUAGGGGACGAGCGUUGUCCGGAUUCAUUGGGCGUAAAGGGCUCGUAGGCGGUUUGUCGCGUCGGGAGUGAAAACCUUGGGCUUAACUCAGGGCUUGCUUUCGAUACGGGCAGACUAGAGGUAUGCAGGGGAGAACGGAAUUCCUGGUGUAGCGGUGAAAUGCGCAGAUAUCAGGAGGAACACCGGUGGCGAAGGCGGUUCUCUGGGCAUGAUCUGACGCUGAGGAGCGAAAGUGUGGGGAGCGAACAGG